GUUUUGCGACUAGGACCGGCACAGUGGAAGUGGGUAGCAAAUCACUGCAGGUCAUUUACUGUCGAUAAAACCAAGAGCAACAACCAGAACUUUAAAGAUGUUUUCCAGUAUUUUUAUAACAACAUUAAUAACAGCUGUGACUGGAAAUUUAGUAAGAACAUCACUUAUGUGCCAAGACUUUCAUUGCCAAAAUGCAGCCUUUAACUCGGAAAAUUUUCGCAUUUGUCAACAAAUUGGUUGUUACAAUGAAAACCCAAGUAAGAAUC
rnacentral:lncRNA from 1 species